rnacentral:sRNA from 1 species
AGGAGGGAGGGAGGCAAAGACAGGGGGAGAGAGAGCUCUGCACAACUAUGGUUACUUUGGAAGCAGGGUUCUCCGAAGGACACGUGUAAGAAAGUUAGGUAUCUGAUGCAAGUUGAGAUUGUAAAAUCAUUCACUUUGCAUCUAUUACAUGCAGGCGCCUAACGGUUUACCCUCAACAUGGGAAAUUUUACGUGGGUCAGCUUACUAGCUGCUACCGUGAACGUUAUACAUUCACAUUCGCCUGCCCUUUUUUAUUAACUGCAGCCCAGAAUGGAGUUACAGCCGUGCAUUAUUAAAAUCCGUCUUCGAUUCAAGCAGAGAAUUGAAGAAACAGAAACUAACGUUGCCCUCUCGGCUGCGUUACUGUAAUAGAUCUAAGCAGUGCUUUUUUUCCUGUCCUGCUUCUGUGGUGCAUUUCGGUUCCCUAUCAGGAUCACGUUUGUGGGAGGUCAGCCUGGGAUCGCCCAGGGGGAUUGGCUGGCUUCUGUUCACCUGGGCUCUGCUCUCAACAUUGGCAGUCACCACCCUGGCUCAGCUCUGAAAGACCUGGUCAGGGUAGCUGCGACCGAAAGACCAGCAAAGUGCUAUGGGGGUUAGGGGUGGACGGAGAAGGAUGAAUGGGGGAGGCUGUCGGGGGAGGAGGCAAAGGAACAUGAAUUUCAACUGGGAAAACCCUAAUUCCCGCUUUGAUUCAUUUAAGGAGGGGGAAAACCACUCAGCGAAGGCUCUCUCCAAAACCCAAGGUAGUCAGUCGACUUUUGAAAAUUAUUUAUAACCGUGGAUAACCAGACCGCCUCGUGCACCGUGACCCCUACCCUCCCCCUCGCCCCCCUCCUCGAAAUCCUGGAUUCUUCCCAGGAACGAGCGCCCAGCAGGGCGGGCACCCGACUGCGUGCAGGGCACCGCAAGUUAGCGCCCCGGGCCGGCGGACUCGGCUUCACCGCUCCUACCCGGACCCCACCCGCGGCGGUGGGACACCUGUCACCGGGCGGGGUGGGGGACUCAGGAGACACUGCGGAGGCGGGGAGCGGGACAGGCGCGCCGCGUAGCCGUACCGCCAGCCUCGGGCUCCGGAGCACGCGCCCGGGGGCUGGACUGUCCAGGUGGCCUGUGAGGCCCCCAAAGUUGCUUGAGGCCCAGCGUGAACCCCAGGUCUGACGGUUAAACUCCUACUCCUUGUCUCCUUACGGGGAUGCCCAGACUGGCUAUUAAGACUGCAUGAAUCAAUGAGUCAAUCAGGUCAGGAGACAAGAAGUAUGCAGAGAAGAAAAUCUGCAGUCAUUCCCGGGACAGAGGGUGGAUCUCCCUUCCCAGUCAUCACUGUUAUCUGUUAUUACUUGUACAAGGAGGGGGCAUAGGAAUCUAGUUAUAGCUUUCUCAGACUUGUAAGUUCUGUUUACCUUCCGAACAGACUUCCCUCUCCCUCCGGGAGCCAGAAACCGUUACCCACAAUCACACACCGAGCUUUGGAGGCCAAGACUUGCACUCCAUUGGUCCCAGCUUUCCCAGUAACUGUUGUCAUAAGCACGUGACCAUAUACGUGUGCUACCACGCCUGGUUUGUAAUGUUUAGAUUUAUUUUACGUGUACGAGUGUUUUGCCUGUAUGCAUGUACAUAUACCACAUGCAUGCCUGCUGUCCAAAGAAGCCGGAAGAGGGUGUGGGAGCUCCGGAACUGGAGAUGUAGAUGAUCUUGAGCCAUUGUGUGGGUGUUGGGAACCAACCCCGUAUCCUCUACAGAAGCAGCAAGCGCUCUUAACGCCAGCCACCUCUCCAGCCCCAGGGCAUUUUGGUGAAGAACCAGAUAUGGUUUUUGAUGUGGUUGUAAGAGUCACAGCCGUGUGUGGGGGGGGGGGGCGGGUUUCCAAUUUGUGAGAGUCCCUCCCUCUCUCUGUGGAAGAGAGGACAAAGCUUGCUCCACGCAUACUGGGCGCCUAGAGCCCCGCCCACUUUUGCUUUAGAACCGAACCUGAGUUUAUGCAUCCGGUAGGCUCAGUCCCAACUGCAGGACUCCAUCAUUGCCGCCCCAGUCUCCAAAAUGUCCGUACAGAUCAACCCCGAGAGUGAAGUGAAUCCAACAGUGACAUCGACAGCGUAGACUAAUAUGUUAAAACGCUGGCUGCAGAGAAGAACCCGCUGCUCUAAGAAGGUUCCGCUAUCACGAAUGGGACUUCCGUUCUGUGUUCCCCCGUUCAAGAGAGCCGGAGACACUUGGCUGAGCUUUUUAAAUCUUUCUUUAACUGAUAUCUCACUUGUUAAAAUCUGUUGUCUGUUAUGUACACGGUAUGGCCAUAGGCAUCAAAUCUGUAUGUGACUACAUCAGGGCAUCGUGGCCCAAAACCUAGUAGCAGUCUUCAUAAGGUGAAACAGGGGGAUUCCAAGUUCAAGACCAGCCUGGAUUCCUUAGUAAGAUUCUAUCUCAAAAAAAUAAAGAUAUUUGGGAAGGGGAACAUUUGAGAUGUAAAUAAAUAAAAUAAUUCGAAAAGUCAUUAA